GCUUUUAAAGGAUAACAAUAUCAAAAUUGAUCCAUACUCUCAUUGAUCUUUGAUCCAUAUUCCAUAGUUCGGAUGUAAACAUGAAGAAAAAGAAAUUAAUGAAAUACUUAUUCUAUAAGCUAAAUUACAUAAUACAUAUGUACCAAAAAAGAAAUUAAUGAAAUUCAAACUGCAUAAAUCUAAUCCAAAUUCAUAAAUAGAAGCAUCUCCAUUUCUCAAUCCUAUUAUUUUCCUCCUACUAGUAGAUAAACAUUACCAUAAUUUAAUCAAAAUUUAAGUUUUUCUUUCCCACUAAUAUUUUGGAAGUUCACUUCUUUUUCAGAGGAAUCUGUAAGCAUAACAAUGUUUUGAGAUAAGGACAGAAAUUAUCAUCUAGAAAAUCUGCUAAUCUUGCAUUUAAUUGCAAAAUGUUGUACAAAGUAAAAUAAAAGAAAAUCAAAUUAAAUUAAAAUCUAAAAAGAAAAUGUAAAUGAAAGCUUACGGGAAAGGAUUGGAAGCUAAGGUAAGCCAAAUAGAUUUCAAUGUUGCUUGUUUUUGCAAAAAAACAAAGCAAAAAUAAAAAAAGAUGAGUUUAAAUGAAGAAACUAAAAUUGCAUCCUGAGAAGAUAAAUAAAACAGCUUUGCAGACCAGUUUUUGAGAAGAUAAAUACAUGCAAAAUGAUCCAAGACCAAAGCCUCCAGCAUUUAUCCAGGUAAUUGUAUCUAAAAUUGUUGCUUGAUUAUCCAGCAUUUAUCCCAAAAUAAAGUCUUAUUAUCCAUCUUAUUAUCUAAGUAAAUGUAUCAGUGCAAUCCAAACUACCAGGCUUAAAAGAAUAUAAGUCUUGAUGGAUAUCACACGUCGAUCUCAUGAUUUCUACAAUCAACUAAAUACUCCCCGACUCUCCCUAUUACCAAGCCACAAACACACUUGAGAUAUUAAAUGUAAUCUGGACAAGAAUCUCAUGAAAGAACAUAACUUCCUAAUAACAACAGUAGUAGAUAAAACAUGAAAUAAGAGCAGCAGCAACAAAUAACCAUCAAAUCCUCUAGAACAGAACAUAAGAAAUUCAUAAAAGUAUAACAUCAGGAGCUUGAGAUUUGCUAUUGACUAAGUUGUAGGCUUUCAAAAAAUUAGCAACAUUAACGAAUCAGAAUCAAAAUAAUUAACAUAAAAAUCAUAUGAACAUCAACGAAUCAAAAAAUCAUAUUAACAUUAUUACUUAAAAAAUCAAAAUAAUUAACAUAAAAAGUCUUUUUACCCUUGAAUGCCUGAUUCUGGAACAGGGUGCAGGACCGGAGGUGGAUCGGUGGAGGUGGAUCGGUGGAGGUGGAGGUAGCUUGAUGCCUUGAUUUUGGAAUUGGGAAAAAAAUGAGGAGGGCACGAUAGGGUUAGGGAUUUGGAAGACUGCUGGGCAGUAAAGCAAAAGUUAAAAUUAGCAACAUUAUUACCCAAAAAAUCAAAAUACAAUGCAAAAAAUAUGAUGAACAUCAACGAGUAAACAAACGGUUUACCUUAAAUACGAAUUUGUUGGCGAUUCAGGAAUAAACAAACCCUUAAAUGCUUGAUUCUGGAACUGGGUGGAGGACCGGAAGUGGACCGAUGGAGGUGGAUCGGUGGAGGACGGAGGUAGCUUGAUGCCUUGAUUUUGGAAUUGGGAAAAAAAUGGAGGAGGGGAGGGGAGUCAGG
rnacentral:lncRNA from 1 species